CGCAUAAGAUUGCCUGCUGCAGUUGCUUGAGAGAUGUCCAGUUUGCAGCCGAACAUGCAGCAUAGAGAAACCCAGCAAGGAGGCCCUCAUCAGCCUCAUGCAGACAUGCCCUCACUACCAGUAUCUUUGAUAAGGGGCCAGAAGCUGAUCUACACUGCUAUGCCCAUCAACAUGGCUCUGGCAAAGACCUCACCUCCAGUCUCACCUCUUGCCUGCUCAGCAACGGUUGACCAUGGGGGAGAUCAGAAUUAGAAAUGUAUGGAGCCAGCACAUGAAAACUUGCAAGAUGAUGUGAUGAAGUCCAGACUAAAAGACGGGCGUGAUGCUAAUGUCUCUGAAUGGACAUUUGUACUUGUAUUGUAUUUUUUGGGGAACUGAAUGAUGUCAGUCAAUAUGGGGAAGGAAAUCUCUGUGCAUUCUCCUCCAGGAUCAGGGAACUCAUGUUGCAUAUGGGAUACCACACAGGAAAGCAUGACCACGUUUGCCAAGGUAGACCUAUUACCACCAGACAAAAUGCAGAUAGGCACAAUAUAUGUAUUGGCUGGGAAUGACAAUGAAAGAUGAAAUGUACAGACUGUUAUAUUAGCAGGACACUGCUUCUAUGGUACUAUGUCAAGUUUUUUGAUUUUGAUUUUACAUGGACCUGUUACUACAUUUGAAAGUUAAAAUAUCUUGUCACUUGGUAUUUAUGACUCGUGUUACAUACGGAAGGGUCCAUAAGUAAAGCAUUUCACUGUUAUUCUAAACCUGUUGAAGAUGCAUGUGAUAAAGACA